CUGGAAUUCACUGGGGCAUUCAGCUUCCUCUAGGGGCCUUCCUGAGAGGCCGUGCCUCCUUGGCUGCAGGAGAGAUCUUUCUGCCAUCUGGAGACUUCUACACCAAGUUCAGGUUCCGGUCUGUGGAGGACCCAACAUAUGUACAAGCACAAAGUACUCUGCAGAACACAGAGAGAUGUCUUUCUGGAAAGAUUUCUAGACUGGGAAUUAGGAUCCUUCAGUUUCACUGCUGUUUCCACUACCUAUUAACAUAUGACCUUGAGCAAGUCACCUAUUACGGCAGAGCGAAGGUUCCUCACCUCUGAUUGGGUACAUUGCCUACCUGUCCCGCCCACCUCACACCGUCGGGCAGGGCCGAAAUGAGCGAAAAUGCAUUGAUCACUGUGAAGAGCUGUUCAAAUGUAUUUUUAUGACUGACUUCCCAGAAUUCUGAGGUCCUAUUGAGACUCUACAUUCAUGUGUUUUGAAAAGAGUGAAUUACUAUACACGUGGGGGGAUUUUUUUGGUCAUAUUAAAAAGCCCCCUUUGUUGUACAGCAGAAACUAACACAGCAUUG
ensembl:lncRNA